rnacentral:rRNA from 1 species
UACGGAGGGUGCAAGCGUUGUUCGGAAUUACUGGGCGUAAAGGGUGUGUAGGUGGCGCUGUAAGUCGGGUGUGAAAUUUCGGAGCUUAACUCCGAAACUGCAUUCGAUACUGCGGUGCUUGAGGACUGGAGAGGAGACUGGAAUUCAUGGUGUAGCAGUGAAAUGCGUAGAGAUCAUGAGGAAGACCAGUGGCGAAGGCGGGUCUCUGGACAGUUCCUGACGCUGAGGCACGAAGGCCAGGGGAGCAAACGGG